GGAACCUCCAACUCCUUCUCCUUCAACAUGUUUGAGUUCUCUGGAAAGGAACCUUCAGAAGUCUACCUUCACUGCCAACUGCAGCUGUGUGUUAAGAAGAACAACAACUGUGUGCCGGGUUGCUUUUUUGCAGUUCGGAGACGCAGAUCUCUCAGAUACAGACGUGGAGCUCCAGCCUUGAUCAGCAUGGUCUGGACUCAUUAGAUCGUGAUCUUGCCAAACCAUCAGAGUUCUGACCUGAUUCUGGUUCUGAACGCGGACGUGUGAAGAAAUAUCAGUUCUCUUUGCUGUUAAUCAACUUAAUGAAUUGAUUAGGAUUUCUGAUGAUGAUGAUUUCUUAGGAGGGAAGGGAACUGUACUUUAUGAAAUGUAUCAUCGCAUCUGUUCUCUGCUUUAUUAUUAACAUGGUGGAAGGAUCUGAAUGACCUCAGAGCUGCUUUUAUACUCAAUCCAGUUACGUAAUCAAAUAUAUAUUCAAGGACUUCUGAUUUCUAAAAGCUCGUUUUACAUCAUGCACCAAUCAAUUCACAGACAAGCUUUGUAUUAAUCAGUUUUCUUAGAAAAUUAUAUAUUUUUUCAAUUUACUAUUUGUUGAUCAUUUGUUAAGCAUCCAAAAGACAAAAAAAAUAAAAAAAAAUUGUGGGGGACAUCAUAGUUGUGUUUUGUUUUUCUUUGAAACCAUUGAUCUAUAAUUUCUCGGUAAUGAAGGGUCAACUUUAUGAUUCAUGUUGGGACAGUUUGGACAAGCAAAGUAAUCAAAGAAAACUGGUAAAGAGGCUAAAAGUCCAGAUGACAAUAUUGGAAGGAAAAUAUAUUGAGUUUUCAAGCAGAACGUAGUAAAGAAUUUAGAAAAUUACAUUUUAGGAUUUUUUAAGGAUAUGUGUAAUGAAGUACAAAUUAAACAAAUAUCUCCUACA